CCUCACCCUGCCUACUGCACUACUGCUUAUAAGUGAAAUACUUUGUCUUCAUGAGAUCUAUUCCUCUCCGUUUUUACAUUUUCAACAGCGUGACACCACACCAAAACAACACACACUGGUCUCUGGUCUGUGUUGAGAAGUUCAGUCAACAUGACAAUAGAGUGGCAUUUCCACUCCCACACCAUACGCCAGAAGUCCUGCAAUGUGUGAGCCAAAGGCGCCUGAGUUGCAAUGAAGUAAUCCUUCUGCCUGUAACCCUGCACAGACCCACUCGGUCCAUACGUGCGUGUGUGUUGUGCAGUUUGUGGAGGUGUCCUUCCAGCGAGGCGAUGUCUAACUCGGUGUCAC